UGACUUACCUUGGUUUCAAGCCUGGGCUG
rnacentral:piRNA from 1 species